UCCCCAGUGGCGCAAUUGGUUAGCGCGCGGUACUUAUAAUGCCAAAGUUGUGAGUUCGAUCCUCACCUGGGGAA
rnacentral:tRNA from 1 species